rnacentral:rRNA from 1 species
GACCGCGUUAGGCGGAAUCACUGGGCUUAAAGCGUGUGUAGGCGGAUCGUUAAGUGUCUUGUGAAAUCCUCACGGCUCACCCGUGGAACGCUGGGCAUACUGGCGAUCUUGGGCCACUACGGCGGACUGGAACAAGCGGUGGAGCGGUGAAAUGCGUAGAUAUCGCUUGGAACGCCAAGGAGGAAAACAGGUCUGCUGGGGUGUGCCGCGCUGAGACACGAAAGCCAGGGGAGCGAACGGG